rnacentral:lncRNA from 1 species
CCGGGCGGUUGUGGGGGUCGUGGGGGCCGAGGGAACCCCGCUUGGUUCUGGCUUCCUCAGAGGCUCUGAGUCGCGGGGCGGGGUCUGGCUUCAAAACCCGGAGAACUAAUUCUGCUGGGCGAUCUCCAGGACUUCAGCUUUCUCCAAAGGUGUUUAAGGGGGUGCUGGAAGGGUGAAGAGGCCCAUGCGGUCCAUGGCCGCCCCCUUGAUCAGCUUCGAGUACGGCGGUAAAGUUGGAAAGUUGGUCCGUCCCACAGGGGUCGUCCUAACAAUCGAGAUGUUUCAGGUGGACCCUCUGGAUCUGGUUCCUUCUGGUCUUACGAUGAAAAACACGUGUGUGUGUGUGUGUGUGUGUGUGUGUGUGUGUGUGUGUGUGUGCCCUGUGUGUUUCAUAUUAGGGUAUUUUCAAACAUUCCCCAAAAGAAGUGUAUUAUUGUCAAUUUUGUUUCCUCUGUUACCACCUAUACUCCCUGCUUCCAGUGUCUUACGGGAAACCAUUUCGUUUAUAAAUACACCAAGUAUAUGUCCGACAGAUGACCUACAUGCAAUGAAUUCCUUUGUCUAAUUCUUAGCCCACGUUUAGAUUUUCGCAGUUGUCUCAUGUCCUGUCAUAAUUGGUUUGUGGCAUCUAGAUCCACAGUUCCCACCCAUUGUAUCUGGAUCAGGUAUUUAAAUUUUUUACUUGGUAGCUUUAAAAUUAACUAUCCAGAGAUCUAGAUGGUAGCAGGCAGCCUGGUUGGGCGCACAGUCAUCUGGUGAUUGUCCCCGUGAUUUAUAUUCGCCUCAGAAAAUGUUUGCUGUGCACCUACCACGUGCUAAGAUGUAUGGACGCCUGGACUGGGGGAGGGGAAUGUUGCAAAAUAGUGAACCAUAGUACCUGCCUUCAACUCACUAGCAAUUUAUGGAGGCAGAAGAAAUAAGAUGUCCUGAUCCUUUGGAACCUGAACUGGUAAUAAAGACUCCAACAUAAGCAUCUAGCAUCUAGUUUAGGAUAAUCCCUUCUCCUUGGCGUUCCUCCAGACCUCGUUUGGAGGGCCUUGAAUGUCAUGCCAAGGAGUUGAAGUUUAUCCUGAAAACCCCGGGGAGUAAUUGAUGUGAAGUCAUGAUGCUCCUUUCACCUAACUCCCAUUUUUGUCAAAUCCUAUCGAAAAUGCAGCUCUUUCAGUGAAGUUUUCCUUGAUUCUACACCCUAGUGAACAUUGCUGUCUCAUUUGUGUUCCCACUACCCUUGGCUAGUGUCUUUUGUGGAUAGAUCUGAUGUAGGAUUUGAAUGGUAUUUUGCUGUGAGUCUGAACUCCAUUAAAAGGCUGUAGGUUCCUUAGGGAAAAUUCACUCUUCUGUUUUUUGAAUGCAAAUGGUCUGGUUUGAAAAGUAAAGGCCUCAAUAAUUUCAAUUUGUUCACUUCCUUUUCACAUUUUGAGAUGUUCAUAAAAGGCAGUAUAAAGUUUUGAGUUCAGUAAAGGCCUCAAUAAUUUCAAUUCCCCCACUUCCUGUUCACAUUUUGAAACAUUCAUAAGAGGCAGUAUAAAGCUGUGGUGGAGUUAGAGUGUGUGGGCUGGUGCCCUGGCUCUGCCAUGUAUUAUCAAUGUGACCUUGAGCAAGUUACUAAACUUUUCUGAAGCUGUUUUCUCACCUAUAAAAUGGGAUUCAAUAGUAUUUAUAUCAUUGGCUGGCUUUGAGGAUUAAAAGUUACUACAUGCAGAAUACUAAAAACAAGCUAAAACCAACUGUUUUUUUUUUUUGCCCAUUUGCCUAUAAGCUGUCUCCACAUCUCUAGUGAUUAUCUUUAUUUAAAUUCUUGGAUCCCCAAGUGGGAUUCAUCAACUUCUUCCAUGUGGAUUACCCCUCAGUCCUUUUUUGUGAUCCAGCUCUCCCUGCUUGCCAAUUACCAUAUUCUCUUCUUCCAUCAGUUCCUGCUCCACAUGAAAAUAUAAACUGAAAACUUUGUUUUUACUGCAACCUUCACAUCAUUUAUUGUUUUAUUUUCAUCUUAUUUUCUUUUUGUUCGUAGUCAAAAAGAACUGAACUUUUCUAUUUGUUUCAGUUUUACUUAAUUUUUUUUUUUUUUUUUUUUUUUUUGGCAAGGGUUUUCCCUUGGUUCAAUUUUAGCUUCUGUUUUCUCGUGAAGAAUACCUGGGUAAAUUCCCUCCUUUGCUCUAAGUUAUUUUUUUACCUGACUCUGAAUCAGUCACCACAGUUCAUACUUUUAUAGUUUUCAUUUAUUUACAAUAUUUUUUCUGUUUCUGAGUGUUAAUUGUAGUCAGCAUUGUCAUUUGCUAAUGUUAUAGGUCGAGAAGUUAUUUCAGAACAGUUCUAUGUGCUUCAACUGACACAUGCUCUCCUCCCUGUCAUCAUAUAUUGAGUCAGUGUUAGUGUGAGCACUCUAACAUUUCAGCCACUGACUUUGUGUUUUUAAGGUAGUUCAUUUAUUUUAGCUCCAGAUUUAGCUAAUGCCAUGAAGGAACGAGACCUUUAUCUCAUUUCAUGUCUUAGGCACCAUAAAAUGCUGAGUCACAGUGCAUCUGUGGGCUGCUCUUGCUAGGCAAAUGAUUUAAAGUUUGAAGUUGGAGUGAUUUCAGAUUUCUCCUAUACUUAUAUUAUUGUUCAAUUUCUUUUUUUUUCUUUUUAAUUUAGUAUACUUGUGUAGCUGUAUGUGGUUGAAAUGGGGAGGAGGUGGAUUGAGAGUGUAUGAACUGUAAUAUUUUUAAGGCCAUUCUUAUUGUUCACAACUAACUGAAUACAGAUCUGUGUAGUCUAUUGUAACUAGUUUUGAAUGUACAGAGUAGUUGAUGCCAGGGAAAUACUUUUCAGGGUCUGCAGAAGGCAGUACCCCUGUCAUGAGGCUAUUAAUACCAUUAGAAUUGAUGAUUGCUGGUACUCUGAGAAGAAAAAAAUGAGGGGAUUUGGAUCAGUUCCUAAACUAGAUUGUUCCGUGGUACAGCAGCAUGGUUAUAUAUGGUAUAUAUGUACAUACCUGUAUGUAUACAUACAUAAUACAUUUUUUUUUCAGCAUACCUACUGUCAAACCCUUCUAUGUCAAUUAGCUUUUUUUUAAUUUUUGGCCACCCUGCAGCAUAUGGGGUUCCCCGGCCAGGGAUCAGAUCCAAGCCACAGUUGUGACCUGUUACACAGCUGUGGCAACACUGGAUCCUUUAACUUGCUGUGCCUUGCCGGAUUGAACCUGAGUUCUAGCACACCAGAGACACCACUGCUCCCAUUGUGCCACAGGGGGCACUCCUCAGUUAGCACAUUUAAAAAUGUGCUUCAGUUUGCUUGUAUUAUUGCAGUGGUGUAGUAAGCAGAGAAACUGGGUGAGUUUAUCCAUUUGUGUGGGAAAAAAGAUAGUGGAGAAAAUUAAAGAUAGCGGAGAAAAUAAGAAAAUCAUUCAUUCAACAGAUAUGUAUUAUGGACUCACUAUGUGUCAGGCAUUUUGCAGGGCUAGGGAUAUAGUCAUAAACAAAGCGAAAUCUAUGCCUUCACAGAACUUACAUCCUAGUGGAGAAGACAGAAGGUAAACAAACAGGUAAAUAUACAGUAUAACAGAUGGUAAUAUGUGCUCUGAAGAGAAAGAAGAGGGAUAAGGCAGUCUUGGGGUUGAAUAAUUUUUUUUUUUUUUGCUUUUUAGGGCCUUAUCUGUGGCAUACAGAAGUUUCCAGGCUAGGGUCAAAUCAGAGCUACAGCUGCUGGCCUACGCUAGAGCCACAGCAACGCGGGAUCCAAGCUGAGUCUGAGACCUACUCCACAGAGCUCGUGGCAAUGCCAGAUCCUUAACCCACUGAGCAAGGCCAGGGAUUGAACCCACAUCCUCAUGGAUCCUAGUUGGGUUCGUUAACCGCUGAGUCACAAAGGGAACUCCCUGAAUACUAUUUUUAUUUACAGUUUCUGGGGAAGAUUUCAUUGAUAAGGUGACAUUUGAACUUUAGUCUUAAGGAAGUGAGGGAGUUAGCUGUAAGGAUACUUAAGAAAACUUCCCUGGCAGUGGGCCUGUAAAGGCCCUAAGGCAGAACAUGCUCGUCAUAUUAGAGGAAAGAGGCCAGUAUGACUGGGUGACGGCAAAUUAAGGAGAUAGUAGAAGGAGCUGAAGUCAGAGAGGCUGUGAAAGACCCAAUCAGAUCCAUUAUAAAGACUGGCUUUUACCCUGAGUGAGAUGGGAAGCCAUUAAAGGGUUUGAACAGAAGAGAAACAUAAACUAAGUUGCUUUUUCAAGGCUUGUGGUAGCUUGGUUGAGAAUCUAUUAUAAUAAAACCCAGGAGAGAGAUGACUUGGGUCCAGGAAGAAGAGGUGAAGUUGGUGAGAAAUCGUUAUAUUCUGGAUAUAUUUUGAACUUGGAGCUGAUAGAAUUAAAUUUGGGGCAAAAAUGGGAGAGGGGCUAAAAUAAGAGUUCACAUUCAAUCAGAGAUUUAAUUCAAGGAGCAAUGUUGAAUAAGCCAUGGAUUUAUAAGGAUAUAGUUGGAAGGGUAUCAGUCCAGGCUGAAUAAAUAAAUUUAGGACCCCCUCAACACACUGAUUAUGUAUAAAGAGAUAAUAUUGGGUAAACUGACCUAGGUUAGUUCACUCAAAAACUGCACAUUAAAAUCCUGGAGGAACUUUUAAAAAAUGCCAGUCUCAGGGCCUGUCCUGUCAGAGGUCCUGAUUGAAUUGAUCAGAAAUAGGACAAGGCAGGGGGAGGCAGUGGGAUUGCCUGGGAGUUUGGGGUUAGUAGACACAAACUAUUGCAUUUGGAAUGGAUAAACAAUGAGAUUCCGCUGCAUUGCACAGAGAACUAUAUCCAGUCACUUGUGAUGGAACAUGAUGGAGGAUAAUGUGAGAAAAAGAAUGUGUGUGUAUAUAUAUAGAUAUAGAUAGAUGUAUAACUGGGUCAUUUUGCUGUACAGCAGAAAUUGACGGAACAUUGUAAGUCAACUAUAUUAAAAAAAUUUUUUUAAAUGACCAUGAUAGUGGGGGGAAAAGUUACCUAUAAGUCAAAUUCACUUAGAAAGAAAGGGCAAGACAUUGUAUUUUGAAUACUUAGACUAUUUACAUAAAUUUUUUUGGCCUUGCCAGCAUGUAGAAAUUUCUGGGCCAGGGAUCAAACCUGUCCAGCAGUUGUGACCUCCACCACAGUUGUGGCAGCGCUAGAGCCUUAGCCCACUGGGCCACGUGGGAGCUUCCAGGGAUCAGUCACCUUCUUUCUCAGUGAAUUGAAUCUGGUUAAAACAAGUCGUAGUAUCAAAGAUGCUGUAAAAUGUUGGUAAUCAAGGAUCAAGGACAUCAAUUAGGAAGCUCAAUUGCAGGGAUCCACGAAAGAGAGAGGGAGAAAGGACUAGGAUGGCAGCAGUAAAAAUGGAGAUGAGGAAAUGGAUUUGGUAUAUGUUAUAGAAGUAAAGCCUGGAGAUGAGAUGGGUGAAUCUCCCUCCCACAUUCCUAAACACAUAGAGCCUUUAGUCUUUUGUUGUUGUUGUUGUUGUUGUUGUUGUUGCUGUUGUUGUCUUUUUGCCUUUUCUUGGGCCGCUCCUGCAGCAUGUGGAGUUUCCCAGGCUAGGGGUCGAAACAGAGCUGGAGCCGCCGGCCUGCGGCCUAUGCCAGAACCACAGCAACGCAGGAUCUGAGCGAUCUGAGCCGCGUCUUUGACCUACACCACAAGAGCCUUUAGUCUUUAGUCACCUGACAACAUCUCCUGACAACAUUGCAUUGUCAAUUUAUUGACCCCUAAAAUCCCUCUUAAUUUCUUGAAAAUUGUAACUCUUGGCUUACUCUCCAACUCCACUACUAUCUUAAUUCCUCACUUGAAAUACAUACCUGGAUGAUCCAACACUCUGGCCUCUCACUUCCUUGAACUCACAUUCAGUGGUCUUGCCCUCUGUUGCCAUGGAGCUACUCACUCCCAUGGUUUUAUUUUAGUUUUUUUAAUUUUUAAUUGUUUGCUUUUUCGGGCCACACCCAAGGCAUAUAGAGGUUCCUAGGCUGGGGGUGGAAUCGGAGCUGUAGCCACUGGCCUACCCAACAGCCAUAGCAACUUCAGAUCCAAGCAGUGUCUGCAACCUACACCACAGCUCACGGCAACGGCAGAUCCUUGACCCACUGAGUGAGGCCACUGAGUGAACCUGCAAUCUCAUGGUUACCAGUCCGAUUUCUUUCUGCUGAGCCAUGGGAACUCCCACUCCCAUGGUUUUAUGACUCUCUCAUCGUAAACUCUCCUUAAUCUCGUUCACUGAUUACAGCCUAUCUUUCCACUCCCUCCGAUACUCUGACUCCAACAAUCUUUCUUUUUUUAAUUUUAUUUAAUUAAUUGAUUUAUUUACUUUUUGCUUUUUGGAUGCAUGUACAGCAUAUGGAAGUUCCCGGGCUAGGUGUCAAAUCAGAAAUGCAGCUGCCGGCCUACACCAUGGCCACAGCAACUUGGGAUCUGAGCUGUGUCUGUGAACUACACGGCAGCUCACAGCAACACUGGAUCCUUAACCCACUGAGUGAAGCCAGGGAUCAAACCCGUGUCCUCAUGGAUUCUAGUUGGGUUCGUUACUACUGAGCCACAACAGGAACUUCACAACAAUCUUUUGACCAUACCAGGAUUGGAUUUAAAAGUGGAGACCAUUAUGAGACUGGUACAAGGGCUCUGAGGGUGUGCAGGGGAGAGUUGAUAAUGUUUGACGGUGGGAUAUCAGUGAUGUCAGUGGGAAUGUGAUACUAUCAUUUGAUUAAGGGUCCUGGUCCUAUAGGACUUGCUGAUGGAUUUGAUGUGGAUAUUUGAAAGAUGAGAAAUAUCAAGGUGAUUUUAUUAUAUUUAUUUUUUUUUGUCUUUUUAGGGCCACACCCACAGAAUAUGGAGUUUCCUGGGCUUGGAGUCGAAUAGGAGCUAUAGCUGCCGGCCUACACCACAGCCUCCAAGCUGCAUCUGCAGCCUACACCACAGCUCACAGCAACACCGGAUCCUUAACCCACUGAUUGAGGCCAGGGGUUGAACCUGCGUCCUCAUGGAUACUAGUCAAAUUUGUUCACACUGAGCUGUGACAGGAACUCCUCAAGAUGAUUUUAGAUUUUUUUAUUUGAGGCAUUAAAGUGAUAGUGAAGUUUUUAUAGAGAUGAAAAGGGUGAAUCAAGAUCUCUAUUUCAGAGAGUUCCUGUUGUGGCUCAGUGGUAAUGAGCCCAACUAGUAUCCAGAGGAUACUAGACCAGCAGCUGCAACUCUGAUUCGACCCCCAGCCUGGGAACUUCCAUAUGCCACACAUGUGACCCUAAAAAGCAAAAAUAAAUAAAUAAAUAAAAAUAAGUGUCUAUUUUGGCAGAGUUAAAUUUGAAAUUCCAAUAUCUAGGUAGACUAAGGAAUUGGACCUAAUCACUUAGGGCUCAGGGAUUGGGAAAGAAAGUUUGCAACAGUUACUUUAUGGUAGCAAACUCUGGGUUCUAGUUGAAGUCACCUUCCUGGCCCAGUGGAAAGGUGGAAAAAUAGCCACAGUUUAAGAGGGCUGCAGAUUUCCAUUUGAAUAAGAAAGUAAAGAGACUGUUAACAGGAGGAUUUGAGACUACAGGAAUUUUGAUGGGCAGUGAAUUCCAGAGGGCACGAAGAAAGAAUUUCAGAUUUAAUAAUUUUAAACCCAGUCCACAGGAAUUUAAAUUUCUUCUAACAUCAGCCAGCAUUAUUACUUUGAAACAGUUCAAAUCUUGUGUGAUCUGGCUGCACAAACCCAAGAAUGAUUUAUUACGUGAUUUUAAUUAUAUUAAAAGAUACUGGAUAUUUUUCCAAUUCUAGCCUAAUCAUGAGUUCUAACAUUUUCUCUCUAAAUUUCAGGGCCUGAAGGAUUGAUCGCUUUCU